GAUGAAGAACGCAGCGAAAUGCGAUAAGUAAUGUGAAUUGCAGAAUUCAGUGAAUCAUCGAAUCUUUGAACGCACAUUGCGCCCGCCAGUAUUCUGGCGGGCAUGCCUGUUCGAGCGUCAUUUCAACCAUCAAGCCCCCGGCUUGUGUUGGGGACCUGCGGCUGCCGCAGGCCCUGAAAAGCAGUGGCGGGCUCGCUGUCACACCGAGCGUAGUAGCAUACAUCUCGCUCUGGGCGUGCUGCGGGUUCCGGCCGUUAAACCACCUUCAUAACCCAAGGUUGACCUCGGAUCAGGUAGGAAGACCCGCUGAACUUAAGCAUAUCAAUAAGCAGAGGA
rnacentral:misc_RNA from 1 species